UUCAGAUCCUUGUCAUAAUUUCCCUUGCCUUGGUGGGCCCUUUUAUGAUGCAUGCAAGUCGCUGAGCUUCAAGCGGGAGCCCGGUGACACUCAGGGAAGCCCCCGCUGCAUUAGCCACGAAGCCUCAGCUCCAGAAGAACCCACAAGCAGUAAAGGAUGCAGGCUCCAUGCCCAGGAGCCCAAUGCAGGGCCUGACCCCACGACCCU